rnacentral:rRNA from 1 species
CCUACGGGCGGCUGCAGUGGGGAAUAUUGCACAAUGGGCGCAAGCCUGAUGCAGCCAUGCCGCGUGUGUGAAGAAGGCCUUCGGGUUGUAAAGCACUUUCAGCGGGGAGGAAGGCGUUAAGGUUAAUAACCUUGUCGAUUGACGUUACCCGCAGAAGAAGCACCGGCUAACUCCGUGCCAGCAGCCGCGGUAAUACGGAGGGUGCAAGCGUUAAUCGGAAUUACUGGGCGUAAAGCGCACGCAGGCGGUCUGUCAAGUCGGAUGUGAAAUCCCCGGGCUCAACCUGGGAACUGCAUUCGAAACUGGCAGGCUAGAGUCUUGUAGAGGGGGGUAGAAUUCCAGGUGUAGCGGUGAAAUGCGUAGAGAUCUGGAGGAAUACCGGUGGCAAAGGCGGCCCCCUGGACAAAGACUGACGCUCAGGUGCGAAAGCGUGGGGAGCAAACAGGAUUAGAUACCCCAGUAGUC